rnacentral:rRNA from 1 species
CCUACGGGCGACAGCAGUGAGGAAUAUUGGGCAAUGGACGAGAGUCUGAACCAGCCAAGUAGCGUGAAGGAUGACUGCCCUAUGGGUUGUAAACUUCUUUUAUAUGGGAGUAAAAUGUUCCACGUGUGGGGUUUUGUAUGUACCAUAUGAGUAAGGAUCGGCUAACUCCGUGCCAGCAGCCGCGGUACUACGGAGGAUCCGAGCGUUAUCCGGAUUUAUUGGGUUUAAAGGGAGCGUAGGUGGAUUGUUAAGUCAGUUGUGAAAGUUUGCGGCUCAACCGUAAAAUUGCAGUUGAAACUGGCAGUCUGGAGUACAGUAGAGGUGGGCGGAAUUCGUGGUGUAGCGGUGAAAUGCUUAGAUAUCACGAAGAACUUCGAUGGCGAAGGCAGUUCACUGGACUGCAACUGACACUGAGGCUCGAAAGUGUGGGUAUCAAACAGGAUUAGAUACCCGUGUAGUC